rnacentral:rRNA from 1 species
GCAAGUCGAACGGAAGUCGUUUUAGUGAAUUUGAUAUGAAAGAUUUAUCCGGAUUUGACGAUGAUCUAAAACAAUGGCUUUAGUGGCGGACUGGUGAGUAACACGUAAGCAACCUGCCUGUUAGAGGGGGAAUAACAACGAGAAAUCGUUGCUAAUACCGCAUAUGCCAUAGGAACCACAUGGUUCUAGUGGGAAAGGAGUAAUCCGCUAACAGAUGGGCUUGCGUCUGAUUAGAUAGUUGGUGGGGUAACGGCUACCAAGUCGACGAUCAGUAGCCGGACUGAGAGGUUCAACGGCCACAUUGGGACUGAGAUACGGCCCAGACUCCUACGGGAGGCAGCAGUCGGGAAUAUUGCGCAAUGGGCGAAAGCCUGACCCAGCGACGCCGCGUGAAGGAAGAAGGUCUUCGGAUUGUAAACUUUUGUCAGCAGGGAAGAAGAAAGUGACAGUACCUGCAGAGGAAGCCACGGCUAACUACGUG